AGUCUAUGAUGAUCCUAUCCCGAACCUGAAUUCCUGUUGAAAGACCAUACUUACGGAUCUGGCUUCUGAGAU
rnacentral:snoRNA from 7 species